UACGUAGGGGGCAAGCGUUGUCCGGAAUCAUUGGGCGUAAAGCGCGCGUAAGCGGCCCGGUAAGUCCGCUGUGAAAGUCCAGGGCUCAACCCUGGAAAGCCGGUGGAUACUGCCGGGCUAGAGUCCGGAAGAGGCGAGUGGAAUUCCUGGUGUAGCGGUGGAAUGCGCAGAUAUCAGGAGGAACACCAAUAGCGAAGGCAGCUCGCUGGGACGGUACUGACGCUGAGGUGCGAAAGCGUGGGGAGCAAACAGG
rnacentral:rRNA from 1 species